CAGUCGCCGCGGUAAUACGAAGGGGGCUAGCGUUGUUCGGAUUUACUGGGCGUAAAGGGUGCGUAGGCGGAUUGUUAAGUCAGGGGUGAAAUCCCGAGGCUCAACCUCGGAACUGCCUUUGAUACUGGCGAUCUUGAGUCCGGGAGAGGUGAGUGGAACUGCGAGUGUAGAGGUGAAAUUCGUAGAUAUUCGCAAGAACACCGGUGGCGAAGGCGGCUCACUGGUCCGGAACUGACGCUGAGGCACGAAAGCGUGGGGAGCAAACAGGAUUAGAUACCCCCGUAGUCCCUGUCUCUUAUAC
rnacentral:rRNA from 1 species